UACGGAGGGUGCAAGCGUUAGUCGGAAUUACUGGGCGUAAAGCGUGCGCAGGCGGUCUGUUAAGUCUGCUGUGAAAUCCCCGAGCUCAACUUGGGAAUUGCAGUGGAUACUGGCAGGCUGGAGUACGGUAGAGGAAGGUGGAAUUCCCGGUGUAGCAGUGAAAUGCGUAGAGAUCGGGAGGAACACCAGUGGCGAAGGCGGCCUUCUGGACCAGUACUGACGCUCAUGCACGAAAGCGUGGGGAGCAAACAGG
rnacentral:rRNA from 1 species